AAGAGAGACUAUUCAAACUUGCAAGUUGAUAUUGCAUAUUCUGAAUUAUGAGUGCAAACACUUAACCCCGAGAGAAUUGGUGAGAAUGUGAUUUAAGCUGACAGGUGAAACGGUGCUUUGAAGUGGAAGUGCGAUUGAAAACUUACAAGGAAAAAGCAGGACUUAUGGAAGGAAAAGGGAAGACAUUAGUGAAUGAUCUCAACAUUGUUGGGAAACAUAAAGAA
rnacentral:lncRNA from 1 species